UCUCAGUGGAAUUCGUGGGAUGUUUUUGGAUACGCCCUGAUAGGAAUAGUGAUAUUUAUUAUAGUUUGUUGCUGCCUUUGCACAGGAGUAAAAUAUAAGAAUCGACAAGAAACAUCCCAGACACCAGCUACUCGUAGAGAUCCUAUGUGGAGCACGGAGUCAAGUGGUGGUAGUCAAACUUACAACCUCAAUAGGAACAUAGCAUACUCAGUCUCUGAUACAGAUAUGAUGCACAGCCACAAUGUUCAAUCUUCCCCAUUUGAUCCUCAUUCUGGAAGUGCACCAUUUUCCGAACCACCGCCAUCGUACGAAUCUAU